rfam:Ovis aries breed Texel chromosome 18, whole genome shotgun sequence.
UCCCUGGUGGCCCAGUGGUUAAGACACUGUGCUCUCAAUGCAGGGGUCCAGGCUCAAUCCCUGGCCAGGGAA